rnacentral:rRNA from 1 species
GACGAACGCUGGCGGCGUGCUUAACACAUGCAAGUCGAACGAUGAAGUUCCUUCGGGAAUGGAUUAGUGGCGAACGGGUGAGAAACACGUGAGAAACCUGCCUUUCAUUUUGGGAUAACUCCGGGAAACCGGAGCUAACACCGAAUACUCCGUCUCGGCGGCAUCGCUGAGCCGGGAAAAAAUUUUGAUGAAAGAUGGUCUCGCGGCCUAUCAGCUAGUUGGUGAGGUAAUGGCUCACCAAGGCGACGACGGGUAGCCGGCCUGAGAGGGCGACCGGCCACACUGGGACUGAGCCACGGCCCAGAAUCCUACGGGAGGCAGCAGUGGGGAAUAUCGGGCAAUGGGCGCAAGCCUGACCCAGCGACGCCGCGUGAGGGAUGAAGGCCUUCGGGUUGUAAACCUCUUUCAGUAGGGAAGAAGCGAAAGUGACGGUACCUAAAGAAGAAGCACCGGCUAACUAUGUGCCAGCAGCCGCCGUAA